UUAUAUUUUAAGUACGUUUCUGGUCUUUCGUGUAAGGGAUGUUAACUGAAAUUUUGAUCUCGCUUCCGCAUUUGAUAUAUUUAAAUACUCAUUUCUUUCUAAUAUUUCCGGGGCCGUUACACGAUUGAUCUGGGCCGUCCGAUCGCACCCACGCGGAUCGCCAACGUGGCUCCUUUCGGAGUGACGCGGUCUUGCCACGUGGCAGGCCCCGGUUGGCCGGGACUGCUGACCGGGCCUGCUGACGUGGCUGUUGAC
rnacentral:lncRNA from 1 species